ensembl:lncRNA
GCCUUCUGCAUGGAGUUUUGCACAAUGAGUUGUAGAAGCUGUUGAAGGAAAAGGUGAAUAGAUUCAAUCUGCAGAAGUGAAAGUCAUUCACCUGGCUUUAAAUAUUGCUGAAUGAGAAAAGUGGCCAGUGCUCUACCUCAAUGCUGAUUCACGAAUGGUGGAAAAUUCCCUGCUGGAGUGGUUACAGUAACAGUAGUAACACAUGACCAAACUCAUCUUUGCUGCUGCAUUGUGGAGGGGUACUGCUGCCCAGCAGCCCUAGUCUACUGGAAAGGUCUCACAUGACUGGAGACUUGCUAAUGUGACUCUCAGGAGCAGAAGGGGGAUCUGGAUCAGACUUUGGUUUGGGGGCACUUCUAAUCUGAGGACUAGUCUGCAGCCCAGAAGGCCGACCAUAUCCUUGGUUGCAUCAUGAGAAGCAUGACCAGCCCCUCUGCUCUACUCUUAUGAGACCCUGCCUGGAGUAUUGUGUCCAGUUUUUCUUUUCUGAGAGACAGGCUAAAUUAUUUCCUAAAACAACGCAAGUCUGCACUCCAUAAAUAUGAGAACUGAGGUCUUAAUCAGCAUUGUCAUUGACCAAUACCUGCGGUAUUACUCUACAUGAGGCCUGUAAUGUCUCUUCUGUU